GGUCUUCUGAUGUGAUUUAAUGACAUGGACUCAGAACAUCCAUUAUGACACCUCCACUGUGGGGCUCUAUAGGUCUUCUGAUGUGAUGUAUUGACAUGGACUCAGAACAUCCAUUAUGACACCUCCACUGUGGGGCUCUAUAGGUCUUCUGAUGUGAUUUAAUGACAUGGACUCAACCUAAUGUCGUUGUUUCUCUAUGAACAAUUCUAACCAUCAUUUAGGAGAGAAAAAACAGAUUUUAUAGCCCCCCUUAGAGUUGUUUAUGAAUGAACUGUUAUUUGACCAGGUAUAUUGACAGAAAACACAGUUCACUACUUUCUGAGUUGCAGGAAAGAGGAGAAUGUGCCUACAGUGAGGGGGAAAAGUAUUUGAUCCGCUGCUGAUUGUGUACGUUUGCCCACUGACAAAGAAAUGAUCAGUCUAAUUUUAAUGGUAGGUUUAUUUGAACAGUGAGAGACAGAAUAACAACAACAAAAAUCCAGAAAAAACGCAUGUCAAAAAUGUUAUUUGCAUUUUAAUGAGGGGAUCAAAUAGUUUUUUUCCUCACUGUAUUUGAAAGCUAGAAAGAAAUGAGUAGCUGAAGACAUCUCUAGCUCUUAUGCUAGAAAAGGUUGGAGACCCCUGCUCUAUGAUCAGCUAAUCUAGGAUGGGUGGAGUCUUCAUUUACAGUGGGAGGGGCUUUAUUUAUGACAUCACCCCCUGACUAAGCACUCGGCCAAUCCCCUUCUUCCCCUGGACAUGUUAUUAUUUUCUAACCUGUUAACAAACAUUCUGAACAGGAAACGUUGUGUAUUUACAUGACAUCAUCUGAAAACAAGUGAAACGCACAAAGAAGUGAAGCUGGAUGUACCGUUGCCAUGGGAAUUAUUGCUGAAUAAAUUGAGUCAAAAUGAGCUACUA